GAUGAACGCUGGCGGCGUGCCUAAUACAUGCAAGUCGAGCGAACGGACGAGAAGCUUGCUUUUCUGAUGUUAGCGGCGGACGGGUGAGUAACACGUGGAUAACCUACCUAUAAGACUGGGAUAACUUCGGGAAACCGGAGCUAAUACCGGAUAAUAUUUUGAACCGCAUGGUUCAAAAGUGAAAGACGGUCUUGCUGUCACUUAUAGAUGGAUCCGCGCUGCAUUAGCUAGUUGGUAAGGUAACGGCUUACCAAGGCAACGAUGCAUAGCCGACCUGAGAGGGUGAUCGGCCACACUGGAACUGAGACACGGUCCAGACUCCUACGGGAGGCAGCAGUAGGGAAUCUUGCGCAAAGGGCGAAAGCCUGACGGAGCAACGCCGCGUGAGUGAUGAAGGUCUUCGGAUCGUAAAACUCUGUUAUUAGGGAAGAACAUAUGUGUAAGUAACUGUGCACAUCUUGACGGUACCUAAUCAGAAAGCCACGGCUAACUACGUG
rnacentral:rRNA from 1 species